rnacentral:rRNA from 1 species
UACGUAGGGUGCGAGCGUUAAUCGGGAAUUACUGGGCGUAAAGCGUGCGCAGGCGGCGCGUUUAAGACAGGUGUGAAAGCCCCGAGCUUAACUUGGGAAUUUGCGCUUGUGACUGGCGAGCUGGAGUGUGGCAGAGGGAGGUGGAAUUCCACGUGUAGCAGUGAAAUGCGUAGAGAUGUGGAGGAACACCGGAUGGCGAAGGCAGCCUCCUGGGCCAGCACUGACGCUCAUGCACGAAAGCGUGGGGAGCAAACAGG